GACGAACGCUGGCGGCGUGCUUAACACAUGCAAGUCGAACGAUGAAGCCGGAGCUUGCUCUGGUGAAUUAGUGGCGAACGGGUGAGUAACACGUGAGUAACCUGCCCUUGACUCUGGGAUAACGGCGGGAAACUGUAGCUAAUACCGGAUACGACCCUCGGAGGCAUCUCCUGGGGGUGGAAAGAAUUUAGGUCAAGGAUGGACUCGCGGCCUAUCAGCUAGUUGGUGAGGUAAAGGCUCACCAAGGCGACGACGGGUAGCCGGACUGAGAGGGUGACCGGCCACACUGGGACUGAGACACGGCCCAGACUCCUACGGGAGGCAGCAGUGGGGAAUAUUGCACAAUGGGCGCAAGCCUGAUGCAGCAACGCCGCGUGAGGGAUGACGGCCUUCGGGUUGUAAACCUCUUUUAGCAGGGAAGAAGCGAAAGUGACGGUACCUGCAGAAAAAGCACCGGCUAACUACGUGCCAGCCGCCGCGGUAA
rnacentral:rRNA from 1 species